GGAGUAAUAAAAGUUUUUGUUGUUGGAAAAAGAAAUUCUGCAGAACAAGGUCUGAAGAAGCAGAUGCAAGUUAUAGAACAGCAUCAGGACCCAAACCAAUUACAGUACGCUGAGGUGGACUUUUCCAAGAUACGUAGAAAUAUUCGGUCCAGCCAAAUCAACAGCACCUAUGCUGCUCUAAACCUGCCGAAAUCAUAAAGACGGGCAUGACUGCUCUUAUACUAUACUUUCUUGAUGUUCAUGUAAUGGUCUAACCACAAUCUGCGUCUAGUGUAAAAAAUAUAGUUUUUUUUUUCUUUUUUAUUAAUGAAUUACAAAUGUUUAAUUUGAUUGAAUGUGAUUUUUAUAAUAUUACUGCUUCAUUUUGCUUUCUAAAGGUGAAAAAAAGUUCUAAAAGGUUGGAAAUCACACAGUUUUUAAUGUAUUGAAAGUAUAUAGUUUUAUAUUUUUCUUUAGGUCUAUAUAGUACGUCUAAAAUCAUUCUAAUAAUGUGCAGGAAAAAAUACAGCUUCUCGAUAGAAAAUAAAUAUCCAAUUUUCAA